UGGAAAAAUAAAUUAAAAAAUGGCAGAAAAACGCCUGACCAGCACUACUGAUUUUAUUAAGCUUUGCCUAAUGGUAAAAGCUUUAACCACAUCAUCUAAAUGAAACGUUCAAACAAUAAUGAAAAUCUAAAUAGGAGAGGAAUAGGGGAAAAAUGUAUUAUCCUCCCUUUAUACUGAAUGUGCACAACCUAUAUAAAAAUCUGUAAAAAAAGCAGCUAUUUUCAACAUUGUUAUUGGGCUUAUAAAAAGAAAUAAUGGGCAAUUUAUGCUUUCUGAAAUUAGCUACAACAAGGUAAGUAAUUGCUGUGCAAGUCAUACUACGUUUUACAAACUAUGUUCUUCCACUGAACAAGAUUCUCAGAUUGCCUUUAAAAGGUAUAAUCUUCUGUAAUCAUUUUUGGAGUUGAAAGCAAUUACUUUUCAAUGGGAAAAGCAAGUGUGAGAACAAGGGCAUCCAGGACCAGAGUUCCCAGUAGUUUGUAAACCCUGACCUUUCAUAUUCAGUUACUGACCUGGUUGGUAAAAGGACAGUGCAAUGAUUAACUUACUAUCCCCCUCAUCUUAAACUGCAUGAAAGGCCAUUGAGACCUGUGUCUGGUAUGCAGCUUUGAAGAAGAAACCUGUAUAAGGUUUGAUCAUCUAACAAGGAAUUUUCACCCCUGUGCCCCGAUAAGGUGUGAGUUUAGUGUAAGUAAAAUGCAUGUAAGGGAGAUGAGAAACAAGAAAGAAACCCCCCACCAAUAAGUUAAGGGCAGUCAGAUAUAGAGCGAGCUUGGGUCAGAACUGAUUAAGAGUUCUCCUGGGAGGCCACACAAUAGGCAGGUGGUGCUGUUGCUACUACAGCAGGGCUCAAAGUCAGCAAAGAAGCUGCAGAGUAUGAACAAACAGUAACAGAGCAAAUUCACAGAGCUGAAUGAAUACUUCUGCCCGGCUCACUCUAUCACAUAAAUAGUUUGGUUUUCAGUGUCAGAGGAUUUAAACAACAAUAGGUAACCGUGGGAGGAAAAUGUUAGCGGCAGUAGUAUGAAGUAACAAUUGGCGAGAAGAGGGAAAAGAUUACGAAGCUUUUAUUAGGCUGCCAGCGCAGACCUAUCAGCACACUUGCACUUUGUGGGUUAGACCCACAUCUUCCCCUUCCCACCUUCCAAGGCCAUUUGAUCACCUGCGUUUUGGAGGGAAGAGAUGCAAUGGGGCCAGUCAUUUCCCUUCAGCACUGCAGGCUGCUGGGGGAGUUGAAGGGGGAGGAAGGGAGAGGGAGAGAGAGAAAUUACAGCAAUGAAUCCAGGUAGAGCCUUUCUGCACCUAUGCCAUAGGUGGUGCUGUGGGAGGGAGGGAGAUUACUUAUUAUAACUCUACUGUCUUGUUUUCCUCUCCCCCCUUCUUCCCUGCAGCUAGGAAAGGAGCCGCGAGAAGGAGUGUAAAGAUGUGGAGAGCUCAAGAGGGAGUCAGGGGAAUGGAAUGGGGCCAAGGUGAACAGAUGAGUCAGGGGAUGUUUUUUUCUGAGGAAGUACGAAUAAGGUUAACCGAGUAUUCAGAAGAUUUGAGAGGUAAGGGAUAUGUUUGCAGGGGUAAAGCGAUUAGAGCAAUAAGGGAUUCAAUGGAGAAAUCCUGCAAAUGAGGUGAGGCAGCAAGAGGAUGAGGGGUUUAGGCAAUCUGUGAGUGAACAAAGUGCAUCCAGGGGAGCAAACAAAGGUCUUGGGAAAUAACAUUUAAUUUUUUUAUUAAAGUUAAUGUUUAAAAUUAAAUAUACACAAGUUAAGAGGGAAGGUAUUGCACAUCUGGGGUCAGGCUUGAGUUAUGAGGGAUUACAGAUACAUACAUAUCACAUAACCAGCAUAGACCUAGAUUGGGGUGCGGGAGUUUUUAAAGUGUCAGUGGAUAAGUGUCAGUGGGCUCGGGUACGCCACCCAUGGAAUGUAUUAAGUAUUAAAAGGAGAAUAGGAGGACUAGGACAAGUGGAGUGUGGGACAUGGAUGAGGAUAGGAAUUCAGCGGGUAGGGUGGAGGAAGGAAAUAGAGUGGAUAGAGGGUAAAGUGAGAGAGAACAGUGAUUGGAAGAGAAAAGUCUUGAAGAAAGAGAAAAGUUGCAUGAAGGUCUUUAACAAAAUUGGAGGAGAACAGAGGAAAGUGGGUAAACAGAUACGUAGCAAUUGUUGUUUCAUUCAACUUUUGAAUACACAGUAAAAUAACAAGAUUUUUCUGAUUAUUAGAUAGGUGAUACCUUAACCCUGGGCCUAGCCAAUUUUGGAUUACAUAUUGGAUGGCACCCUCAUUUUCAUUCGGAAAAGGUAGUUGUGGCACUGUGCCAUGAAGUGAGCAUCUUACUAGACAACUGCAUGGAAACUGGGCAGCCACAGGCAAGAUCAAGAAGAAACUAUGACAGCCACAAGGAUGAAAAGUAAACUGAAAUAUGCUUCCAUCUAGAAAAACAGAGACCUCUGAGGCAUUAUCACAGAUUCACACUUUCAAAGGGGCCUAGAAGAUUUUUUCUCCUUGGAGGGUGCAGUUAGCAAUCAUAACAACAAACUGUAUUUUCAGCGGGGGAACAACAUAUGCAGUCCAAGAUUAUUUACAAUAAAUGGGUGUGAAUGUUCCAGAAUUUUAAGAAGGCUAAUAAAAACUACCAAUUUCUCAGUAGAAAAAAGAAAAGUUGGAGUAAAAACAAAAAGGUUUUAAACAAUCAGCUUUAUGGGAUGAUUGAGAAUUCUAAAGUAGAAUUAUAUUUGUAACACAAGUGUUAAGUCUGCUCUGUGCUGAUUCUUUCAAAACCCUUUAAAUCAUUUAACAGAAAACAGGUGUUUAAACUCUUAUAGUACAUCUGUCAUACUCAUAACUUCUUUUUUUGUCCUACUGAAUUUAAACGCUAAUACAAAUGUGACCAUAGUUAGCUCAGCAAUGAAGAAUACCCUUCAUAAAAAUACUUUUAUAGAUGUAUGAAAAUGGACUAAUAAGUCAGUGUUUCUGGCAAACACUCAAUAAAUCAUAUAUAAUUCAAUACAG